rnacentral:rRNA from 1 species
GAUGAACGCUGGCGGCGUGCCUAAUACAUGCAAGUCGAGCAAACAGACGAGGAGCUUGCUCCUCUGACGUUAGCGGCGGACGGGUGAGUAACACGUGGAUAACCUACCUAUAAGACUGGGAUAACUUCGGGAAACCGGAGCUAAUACCGGAUAAUAUAUUGAACCGCAUGGUUCAAUAGUGAAAGACGGUUUUGCUGUCACUUAUAGAUGGAUCCGCGCCGCAUUAGCUAGUUGGUAAGGUAACGGCUUACCAAGGCGACGAUGCGUAGCCGACCCGAGAGGGUGAUCGGCCACACUGGAACUGAGACACGGUCCAGACUCCUACGGGAGGCAGCAGUAGGGAAUCUUCCGCAAUGGGCGAAAGCCUGACGGAGCAACGCCGCGUGAGUGAUGAAGGUCUUCGGAUCGUAAAACUCUGUUAUUAGGGAAGAACAAAUGUGUAAGUAACUAUGCACGUCUUGACGGUACCUAAUCAGAAAGCCACGGCUAACUACGUG